GUGCUUUGACGUAUUCCGCACUACUAAAAAUUAGAAUGAUACUGAGAAGAUUAGCAUGGCCCCUGUGCAAGGAUGACACACAAAUUCAUAAAGUGUUUUGUAUUAUU